AGUACUAUCCGGGAGACACACGGCGGGUGCUAACGUCCGUCGUGGAUAGGGAAACAUCCCAGACCGCCAGCUAAGGUCCCAAAUUACUUCUAAGUGGGAAACGAUGUGGGAAGGCUCAGACAGCCAGGAUGUUGGCUUAGAAGCAGCCAUCAUUUAAAGAAAGCGUAAUAGCUCACUGGUCGAGUCGGCCUGCGCGGAAGAUGUAACGGGGCUAAGUAGUAAACCGAAGCUGCGGCAAUGCACUUUGUG
rnacentral:rRNA from 1 species